CCUCAUCAGUACAAUGUGAGAGUUUGACUAGGUCAUCAUUAAAGUCCAUUCCAGUUCUAAAAUUCAAUUUUUCUACUAUUAUUCAAAGUAGCAUUAUAAAUCUGACCAUAAUGUUAUCUUUUUUAAUGUUUAUUUAUUUUUGAGAGAGAGAAAGACGGUGAGAGAGAGAGAGAGCACACGUGCGUAUGCGCCCACACAGAGAGAGAAGGGCACAGAGAAUUGAUUUGGGCUCAGACUAGUGAAACCUGAAUCAUGACCUGAGCUGAAGUCAGAGACUUAACCGACUGAGUCACCCAGCAUCCCCCCUCGUAAUGUUAUUAUAUUUUAGUGAGCACUCACACGGGCCCUUCAACACCAUCUCUGUUAGACUUUCCAUGCCUGUGGCCAUGGGAACAUUUGCUGAGAAAAAGUCCCUUUACACUGGGGAUCUCCCAAAAGUAAUGGGAGACAGCUCCCCUUGUGUUUUCUGCUGUAAGGCCUGUCAAGAAGUUUGUUCUUGGGACAGGAAGGAAGGAGGGCUUGGAGACGCAGAGUGCUGCACAUAAGUCUACCUCUCUUCAAUCUCCCUGACUCAAUAUUAGUACUCUUUUAUCUUGCUGGAGGAACAAUUUAGUUGCCUGUUCCACACCUCUUCUGCUUCACACCUGGAUUGUACACUUUGAAAUUCAAGGCUUAAGAAAAUAGCACAUCCUACAUUAAGGUUUUUCUUCUUUCUUAAGGUCUUCUCCUUUCUUAAGGUUCUGGAGGAUCUACCUACUCUGAAAUCACGACCCCACAAGAGCAAUGGUCUCAGGGGAGAGAGUCUGUCAGCCUGGAGGAGUGAGUGCACCCAGAUACCAGGUGAAUCCUCACUCUUGCUGAGCCAAAGAGACUGAGGCACAGAAGCACCAGGGCCAGCAAUAAAGGGAAAAGAUGCAACAACAAAAUAACCUAAGAGGAGAAAAGGAAGCAAGGAGGAAGCAAUUUUGGUAUUACCAACUAUAUACUUCACAUCAACACACUAAAAAAUUACAGAGCAUCGUGUCUGUUCAGGAUACUGUUCUUUUAACUGAGAAGUUACUUUUCCAGACAGCUCUCACGACUGCCUGCUUCUCUGAAAGCUUCUGGAUUUACCCGUUUGUCAAAACAGAGACUGCUAAAAUUUCAUAAAUAUCAAUUCCUUUUUAUAAUUUUACGAAGUUAUUCCAUACAUAAAACCAAUUCAAAACAAGAGAAGUCCUCACUAAAUGUUAUUCCCUAUAAUAAUAAAAAUGUACUUUCUAUUGAUUUUGUGUCCA
rnacentral:lncRNA from 1 species